rnacentral:rRNA from 1 species
GACGAACGCUGGCGGCGUGCUUAACACAUGCAAGUCGAACGGAAAGGCCCUGCUUUUGUGGGGUGCUCGGGUGGCGAACGGGUGAGUAACACGUGAGUAACCUGCCCUUGACUUUGGGAUAACUUCAGGAAACUGGGGCUAAUACCGGAUAGGAGCUCCUGCUGCAUGGUGGGGGUUGGAAAGUUUCGGCGGUUGGGGAUGGACUCGCGGCUUAUCAGCUUGUUGGUGGGGUAGUGGCUUACCAAGGCUUUGACGGGUAGCCGGCCUGAGAGGGUGACCGGCCACAUUGGGACUGAGAUACGGCCCAGACUCCUACGGGAGGCAGCAGUGGGGAAUAUUGCACAAUGGGCGGAAGCCUGAUGCAGCAACGCCGCGUGCGGGAUGACGGCCUUCUGGUUGUAAACCGCUUUCGCCUGUGACGAAGCGAGAGUGACGGUAAUGGGUAAAGAAGCACCGGCUAACUACGUG